CACAUCGUGCCUCCACAAGGGAUUCUUCACCUAUUCGCCGUACAUUACCUUCUCAUGAAAGAAAUGGCAGUGAUGACAUAAGAAGAUCUCCAAGUAGUCGCCGCAGCCAAAGCCGGGAAUAUCCUGAUAGGGAUAGGGAUAGGGAUCGUGAGCGGUCACGGUCCAGAGACAGGGAUAGGGAUCAUGAUAGGGAUAGGGAAAGGGAGAGGGACAGGGAUCGAGAACGUGAUAGGGACAGAUACCGUGAUAGAGAUAGAAACAGGGAGUGGGAGCGUGAUCGAGACCGGGAAAGAUACAGGGAUCGUGAUUCAGACCGAGAUCAGGAGAGGGACAGAAUCCGAAGGGAUAAGGAGCGGGAGAGAGAGAGGAGUUAUGAUUAUGAUAGGAGGUCUAAGCACACAGAAAGAGAAAGCAGCCGGGAUUAUGACAAUGGUAGCCGGCACUAUCGUAAGAGUCGGAGUAGAAGUAGAAGCAGAAGUAGGAGUCAGAGCCAGCAAGCCGGCACUGCUCGUUAUGAAUCACGUUCUAGUCCACCAAGAGAUGGGAGUAAAAGAACUUCUGCAUCCAGUAAUCUAGCUAAACUUAAAGAUAUGUAUGGUGAUUUAGGG
rnacentral:lncRNA from 1 species